GCGCAGUGGAAAUCGUGCCAUGAGCCUCCUCACCAUGUGACCUUCCAGAAUGAUCCUGGAAGAAAACACAGGCCAGACCAUUCUUGAGUCAAUGGCAAAGUGAGGCGGUUGCUUCAGGCAGAGAUGAUCACUCCCCGCAGAUGCUGGACCACUCUCUUUGCCUUCACCUGCUGUAUGGCUUUGUUCCUUGACCAUGUUGGGGGCUCCGAACCACCACCAUACCCGGGUGACAAUGCCUCAAAAGAAGAAAUGGACGCAUUUCUGAAGGCCGUUAAGGAGUAUCUUGAUCGAGAAGGCGCCAAGAAGAGGGACCUGGGUGAUGAGGAUAUCGCUGGAUUCUGAGAACAUCCCUAUAGUUGCCCCAAGUGACUGUUGAACACAACAGGGCCAAGACCAGAACAGAUGGACAUCACAGCAGUCACCCCAAACUCAAGACAGAAAACUGAUCUCUCCAUGCUUCUCCCUGAUGACCUUUGCCAGUUAUGCCUUGGUGAAUCUGCAUCUUUAAAGAGGCCAAGCUACUUGUGUUGCCUUCUUUUGCUCUCCUUAGUGAGUUACGGGAGAAUCACAUAAUUAGAACGAACACCA